AAAAUUUUCAACAACGGAUCUCUUGGUUCCAGCAUCGAUGAAGAACGCAGCGAAAUGCGAUAAGUAAUGUGAAUUGCAGAAUUCAGUGAAUCAUCGAAUCUUUGAACGCACAUUGCGCCCCUCGGUAUUCCGGGGGGCAUGCCUGUUCGAGCGUCAUU
rnacentral:rRNA from 1 species